AGAUAAGUAAAAGUACCCCUUGUCACUCCCUCUAUUCCUCAUCAUUUCCCUACACAGAAGUGACUGGUGUUAACCAUUUCCAGUGUGUUUAUAUAUACGUAAAAUAUGUGGUGUGUGUUGAUUGAGUUUGCUUUUCUCUGGUUUCUUCUAUUAUUCAGAGGCCAGAGACUCAGAAGAGAGCCAGUAAUGGGCAAGGCCUGGGACACCAUGGCUCUCCACACCCUGUGUUAGUCAAGGUCAGCUUUGCUGGCAAGGUUGUAGUUUGUCCUGGGAACCCUACUGCAGGGAGGGGACAGUGAAGGAAAGUAGCCAGGUGGAGCCAUAAAAAGGAAUGCCUCUGUGACUCAGUCAGCCAAUUCCUUAUAAUAAAUUACUGCCAGUAGAGCCCUGUUGCUGCCAAUAAGUUUAGUAUUGUUUCCUAGAUGUCUUUCAUAGAGCAGUCAUUUGAGUGAAAAAAGAUCCCAAAUCUGUUUUGUUUUGUUUUUUCUAUAGGCCUAGGGUUUGUGGCUAAAUUUCUUGGUGAGGCCUGCUCUUCAAAAGACUAUUUAUUGAACAAGAAAAAACAACUGCAGAUGGCUGAGGUGAGGGUGGUACAGAUUGUAACCUUGCUACCUAUCAGUCUAUGUCAAUUCAUAGUCUCCUUUUCCAUUUCCUGUGCCUCUAAGGUCUAGUCCCAAUUAGUAAGAUACCCUCCCCGUGAGUACUUUUCAAAGACUUAUUUGUUGCUUUAAACCUUUGAGGGCUCCCAUAACCUACCAUCUAAAACUUAACUCUUCAGCACGAAAGUCAAGGUCCUUCACUAUAUGGCCCCAAGCCAUCUUCGUAUUCUCAUCUCCCACUUUGAUCCAACUCCCAACAAGUUCCAGUUCCCUGCCAAUGCAUUAUACUUUUGAGGAACACCCGGGUGGCUCAGUGGGUUAAGCAUCUAACUCUUGAUUUCGGCCCAAGUCAUGAUCUCAGGGUUCAUGAGUUUGAGCCCCGCGUUGUGCUCUCCGCUGAUUGCACAGAGCUUGCUAGGGAUUCUGUCUCCCUCUCUCUCGACUCCUCCUGCAUGCGUGCAUACUCUCUCUCAAAAUAAAUAAUAUAUAAACACUAAAAAUUUUUUGAAAUAUCCCAAAUGUAUUUAAAGCACUAAAAAUAAAAUGAGCCAUUUACCCAUCUUAUCCACAUCUUCCCUUCCCAGAGAUAAACACUAUCCAUCCUUCUCGUGCUGUAUAUGUUUCCAUACUUUUACUAUAGAAAUGCCCUUAAUAUUAUUUUGGGGUUAAAAAAAGUAAUGUUAAUGGCAUCAAAAGGGACAUAUUCUUUUGAAGCUUGCUUGCCAUUUUCACUCAACAUUGUUUUUGACAUUUAUUUAUCCAUCGUGCUAAUUUUAUGUGGCAACAUGACUGGGCCACGGAGUGCCCAGAUAUUUGGUUAAACAUUCCUGGUGCGUCUGUGAGGGCUUUUCUGGAUGAGAUUAACAUUUGAAUCCAUAGACCAAAGUAAAGCCUAUUGCCCUCCCCAGUGUGGUUGGGCCUCAGUCAGUCCAUUGUCAACUGCCAACUUGAAUUAAAACAAAAAGGCAUACUAAGAAUGCUUUCUGUCCUCUUGACUGUCUUUGAACUGAGACACUGGCCUUCCUCUGUCUUUGGACUCAGACUGGAACUUAUACCAAUGGGCUCUCUGGUUUGUCAGGCCUUCAGAAUCAGAUUGGAAAUACAUCAGCUCUCCUGGUGCUCCAACUGCUGACUUCAGAUCCAGGGACUUCUCUGCCUCCACAACCUUUAAUCUCUGUGCCUAACCCAACGUGGGGCUCGAACUCACCACCCCGAGAUCAAGAGUAGCAUAUUCUACUGAGCCAGCAAGGCGCCCCACUGGUCUUUUUGAGCAAUUUGAGACUCCAUGUCCUCAGUGUGGCAGAUUGAAUUUUUCAAAGAUGAAAGCAGCUGUGUCUCCCAUUCUACGCGUUCUUCUGCAGUGACCUUGCUCCUCCCAUCAAGAGUUUUCACCCAUCUCCCUGACAGUGAAGCACUCCAUAUGCCUUAAUGUACACAACAACAUCUGGAAAUACUAUGACAAUCUGAAUAUUCGCUAAAUGAAAAACUACUCUGAGAUGAAUAAUGUCAUUGUUAAUUUUGCCAGGACCUCAACUACAGGUAAGUCUGGAUUAGGAAGACUGUUUUUCCAUGGCUAAAAGAAAACAGAACUAAAAGAGGAAACAUCUUCUUAGACUCAUUUAUUGCAAUCUUUAAAAAAAAAUUUUUUUUAAUGUUUAUUUUUGAGACAGAGAAAGAGCAUGAGCAGGGCAAGGGCAGAGACAGAGAGGGAGACAUAGAAUCUGAAGCAGGCUCCAGGCUCCAAGCUGUCAGCACAGAGACUGACGCAGGGCUCAAACUCACGAACCGCAAGAUCAUGACCUGAGCCGAAGUCGGACGCUUAACCGACUGAGCCACCCAGGUGCCCCUUAUUGCAGUCUUUUAAAUGUGAACUGGUAGUCUCUGUAUGGGAAAUAAGGGUAUCUAACUAAAAGUGUCUUCAUCCAAAUCCUUUGUUGGUUUGGUAACAUGCAUAUAUCUGCUCAGUAUUUUUUGUGACUACUAUGCAUGUUUAUUUUUUUCUUAAUACAUAAAGCCAUAAAAUGUAGGCACUCUUUCCAGCAAUGCACAGAAAGGAAAAAAAUGUGGUGUCUAAGAGCCUUUAGAAUCAGGUCUGAACAUUUUCUGAAUUAGCGUAUGGAUUCAGGGAAUUGGGGAUAGAGUCACUGAAGAGGCUGAGACAGCAGAGGAGGGUUGAAGCACUUUUAAUCACACAAGAGUAAACAACAGUAUAAACCCUUAGCGGCUCGCCCAGUGGCUAUGGUCCUCUUCCAGCCCUCAGCUCACCCUCCCCCACUCCCACUCCCUGCGUACCAUUGAGUGAAGUGCAGGGCGUCAGCAGGACCCUGUCACUGCCAGGUGGUAGGAAGGGAAUCUAGCUAGGGGCCACAAAAACCCUGAUCAUCCAUCCAUGGUUAUCUGUUUCUGUACAACUUCGUGUGACUUUUCGAGCUCCGAGGAGUAACAGUGCAGAAACCUGGAGCUGAACUCUACUGUUCCAUUCAGAUGGCCAUAGCUUCAAAAGCCAUGGACAACAAGGGAAGGGACAGUCCAGAGCCAGCAUUACUCAAGAUGCAGCCAAAUCUGGGAUUGAGGUGGGUUCAAAGGGGGCACAAGGCCUACUGGCCACAGUCUAGUAUUGUGCCCCAACCUAGGAAAUGAAACUCGUGCAUAUGCACACAUGCACAUGCACACACACAUACACAUGCAGACAAACACACACACACCCACACACACACCCACAAAGCAAAUAACAUUACCGAAAGAACCGGAGGCUAUUAAAUACAAAAUGGCAGAGUUGGUUUUUUUUUUUUUUAAGUGAAAAUAUUUGCUCUUUUGAUUCUCCUCAGUGCCCUGCGGAGCCCCUAGUCACAAGAGUGUAGGUGGGGAGGCCUGAGAGGAGCAGGUUGCCAGUGGCCCUACAAGUCCAUGUGUGCUCUAGUCCCCACACCAACCACCUUACUCUUCAGCCCAGUAGCUGCUUCCCAUGUGACCAUUCACCCGAUUGGCGCCAUUGCUGGAGCUGCUGCCACAGGGGCUUUUUGAGUUGGUGGUCGCUUCUUCUUCCUCUGAGCUGCUCUCCACAUCACUGCGAUCGUCCUUCGACACCUGCGUGGGACGGGGCCAGAAGUACGAAAGAAACAGUUCGGUCUUCAUUCUCCUUGAUGGUAUCUCUGGAAGAAGCCAAGAAGUGCAAGAAAUCUUCUUUCAUACGACAGAGAUAGCCCUCAUAUACAGCUGCCAAGGUGGAGAGUACCCAGAUCUAAGUUAUUCCUAAGAGGGAAAAGUGGUUUGUACUCCCACCCCAGGAAUACUUAAUACAAUGCCUAUACUUAAAAAACUGUAACACUAAGGUCCCAAGGGCCCAGAAAAGGCAUUCAGAUCUUUCAGUUUCAUUUGCUUCAGUUAAAAGCAUCUUGAUUUUUGUACCUGAACGUCUGACGGAGAGCACUUUGAUAACAAUACACAAACACUAUGAACAAAUGGAUGAAUGACAAGCUGGCUACAGAAAAGAAAUAUUUUGUGAAAGAUUUUUGUGUCAGAAGUAGUAGGCACUUUUGAAAAGUAACCCAAAACACAUAAUAACUAAUUCUUCAGAGAGUAAUAGAUUCUUUAUUUGCAGUAUAUUCCCGUCCUAGAAAGGGCGUUUCUGCUCCAGAUAAGGGCCAAAUGAACAAACGAUGUCAAAGUGCAUCCUCAUUACCUGAGACCUAAGAAGAAAUAAGUCUCCUUUUCUGCAGAGUAGAUUUGAUCAAACUCACCCACAGCUGUAAGCCCACAGUAUAAAAUCGCCACAUCAAGUCCUCUGUGAACAUUUCAUCUUAGACAGUAGGUACCAACUACUCACUUAAGGAAAAGUGAAAUCACUUUUAUCAAGAACACGCGGUCAGAAAAAGAACUGUGAUUCUGCUAAACUCACUUAGAAGCCAGCUCAAUACAGCUUUCCUCUGAUAAACCCUACAGAUCUCUUCCUUUCAAAAUGACCACUCCUCCUUCCAUCUCAGGCCUCUAAGGCCUGUUCCGCAACUAAUCUGACACCUUUCUAGACUUUGGAACCCCAGGCUCCACCACGCCUUAUCCCUACCAGAUUUCCACUCUCUUGCGGGCUCUGGUAGCAGUUUUUGGAAAUUUACACAUGCACAAAAAUGUCCAUGAACUGACAAAGCAAGGCUUGGGGCCUAACCCUGCUCCCCUCAACUCUCAUAAGUGUCCUCACAAAUCUCAGAUUCCCCCAAACCCGCUCCUUUCGCUUGGAAAGGUUGGCUCUUAACAUUAACCGUUCAGCUUCCACAGCCCCAACUAGUUCUGGUUCCUGUGGCCCUUUCCUGUUUCUCUCUUCGGGUGUUCGGGUUCUCGGCCGCAGCUCACACACUCAACCUGUUUCCUGUCUGUAGGAUCCCUGGAGGCUGGGAGCAGGCCCAGAAGAAGCCCCCCCCUCCACUCCCAGGGCCUCCGGGAUCUAAAAAGGGAAAGGGCCCGGCCUCCCCUAGACUCUCGUUCUU